AACAAAACUACUUAGUUAGGUUUAGGAAUAGACUGACUUGGUUAGGCUUAGGCAACAAAACUACUUUAGGUUUAGGAAAAGAUCGCAAUUUGGGUUAAACUAACAACAGAAGUGGCGUACCUUAAGUACGGAAAUUACGUGAGAAAUUAAUCAACUUUGACUUGUGGUUCCAACAGGACACGAACAGCGGUUUCCUGGGCACCUGACCCACCCAUCCAC